rnacentral:lncRNA from 1 species
UUUCCAUCUUCAAUUACAGGUGAUUGCAGUCGGGCCUGGCCCCCUUGAUGAGGAAGGUAACAGGAAGCCAUUGUCAGUUAUCCCCGGGAACACAGUUUUGUACUCCAAAUAUGCAGGAAACGAUUUCAAGGGCAGUGACGGUUCUAACUACAUAGCACUAAGGGCUUCAGAGGUCAUGGCUGUCCUUUCUUAGUUGGUUCAGCAAAAGCGAAACUUGAGAAAUUUGUUGUAAUCCGGAUCAAUAUGACGACUUUUUGCAGCGUAAUGAAAGAAAUCAAAGUGUAAUGAUUUUUCAGUUCGAGAACCAUUUGUUGUUCUUUGUAGUCGUUUAAAGAGCUGCUUGUCUGUGUCCUUAUUUUCCAGUUUCUGAUAUCUCACAAAAGAAUUCCAGUCCUAAAUGAAUAUUUUCUUGAACUGUCAGUUUAGCGUAAUUUAGUGCAAAGAAUAUGGAGUUGCAUCCAUUUAGGAAUGAAAAUGAUGGCACUGGACUGAAUUUUCCCUUUUUUAAAGUUGAAUAAAAAAUUGUUUGUUUCGUCAAGUAUAUAUAGUUUUCUUGAUUCUUCUACAAGAAUGCACAAGCACUUCAAAAAAUUUCAGACAAGCUUUUUAACAUUCGAUGGUACAAGAAAUUUACAUCUACCUUCUAACAUUUCCUGCUGAUAAAAGUUAAUCUCUGCAAUGCUUUCACCGAUUAAAAGAGUUGGCAGAAUUAUCAUCAUACUGUCCUCUCCAAGCAUUACCACUGUCUGUUCCACUGAGUGCUUGGUUUGGGGCAGGAGGCUGAGCUAAAUCUCCAUCUAAACUCAUUUGUUGUACCUCAGCAGAGGACAGUAUCUUUAUACUCUGAACGCAGCUCACAAACUCACUGAGAAAAAUUUUCAAAGUUAUUUUUGUG